AAAACAACAGAAGAAGAAAUAAGGACGGUGCGCAUGCGCAGCAAGCAAAGUUUUGAAGCUGCGUCGAAUUUGCUGAAACUGAGAAGUAAAAAGACUGUUUACAUUUCACCUCUGGACAAAGAAUGAUUGAUUACUUCUACACAAUAAUAAUAAGGAAAAAAGCUUGUGUCAGCUGUCUUCUCUGAGCAGCGGUCUUGUGAUCACCGGUCUCAGUAUAAUAAAGAUUUGACAGAACUACACACCCAUCUGAUGCCUACCUGUUUUAAUUCAUGAUCCCCCCGGAUACUUCUACAACUAACCCGCCUUGGUGUCUGAUGCUGAUGCAGUCUGGGCACUAGUAUCUGUUGGCUUGCUGACUAUCACUGACGAUGAAGUACUUCUCCAAAUCUUGACCCAGUGUCUUCUGCCAUCAUUGUUCAGGGUAGUACUGCAAAGAAUAGUCUCCAGGGUCUGCCUCCAACAUUUGCUUCCCGACCACCAUGUGCUACGUUUGCAUCACUGCUACAUGUGGGUUACCCUGAUACUGUGAAGAGCGCCUACAAUAUGAUGCUUGACUUGGGACAGAAAAAAAAACAUUGGCAACUUGUGUGGCCAACUCAUUGCCGUAUUUAAAAUCAUUGUACUGCUACCUCCAUUGUUUAACAUAACUAAAAGCAGAUUGUUUUUGCUUUGUUUCAAAAUUUUUGUAAUACGAGUUAAAACUACAUUGAAAAAAAUAUAUCAUCUUUAACUUUGAACUGUCACUACAUUUGAUUUAGGGUAAUGUGUGUGAAGAAUAGAACAUUAAAGGCAAUUGGUCAACUAGAUUUCUGUUCAAGUAAAUACAACUUAGAAAUUCCAAGUUGCAGGAAAUGUUUCUUGAUUUAGCUAAAUUUAAAUUAGUUGUUUGAAAUACGUACAUAGUAUAAUGUACUUAAUUUAGUUGUUGAAAAUAGUAAUUCUGAGUUACACGUUUACAACACUUAUAAAUAAACCUUUGUUAGUACAAAUUACUAUUCUUAUUUCACUUGUUUUUUUCAAGGCAAUCGGUUUGCAUGCUUUUUUUUAAAUAAGGUUUACUCAUUAUAAUUUACAGUGCAGACAACCUCCCUGCUCAGUGCACACUAGUGAGAUAAAAUCAAAACACUGUAAUUGUAAUAAAGUACUGUUACUAUACUGUA